rnacentral:tRNA from 1 species
UCUGGUUUAGCAUAUAUAAUGCGUUAGAUUGUAAAUCUUUUUAAAACAUAUGAUGUUAACUAGGA